rnacentral:rRNA from 1 species
AUUGAACGCUGGCGGCAGGCCUAACACAUGCAAGUCGAGCGCGCGGCGGACGGGUGAGUAUUGUCUGGAAAACUGCCCGAUGGAGGGGGUUAACUCUUGGAAACGGUAUCUAAAACCCCAUACCAUCUGUUCUUCCCAGAUGGGAUUAGCUAGUAGGUGGGGGAACGGCUCACCUAGGCGACGCUCCCUAGCGGGUCUGAGAGGAUGACCAGCCACACUGGAACGGAGACACGGUCCAGACUCCUACGGGAGGCAGCAGUGGGGAAUAUUGCACAAUGGGCACAAGCCUGAUGCAGCCAUGCCGCGUGUGUGAAGAAGGCCUUCGGGUUGUAAAGCACUUUCAGCGGGGAGGCGUUACCCGCAGAAGAAGCACCGGCUAACUCCGUGCCAGCCGCCGCGGUAAUAC